AGAGCGCUGGCGACCGGGUUGUUUUGGCUUAAUUUUUUUUAUUUUUUUUAUUUUAUUUUUUGUUUCUUAUACGCGACAUUAGGUCUUCUGUAAACGCCGUCUGUUCGCGGCGGGGUCACCCCACCUCCUUAGCGCUCUCUCCCUGUCGCCGGGAGGGCUGUGGUGACGCUGUUGUUGUUUCCCUGCGGAGGCUGUUGGCGUUUCUCCUGCCCGCGUCCAAGAUGGUGGCGGGCGGGCGCCGAGCCGUUACCUCUGUGCGCGGCGGCCUCGCUGGGGGCGGGGGCGCUUCUCUCCGGUGUUUCUGCCCAUUUCCCGGGUCCUGUCUUCCCUGCUGGAAGCCUAGGGUGUUGUGGAGCGGGGGUGUCGGCAGCCCUCCCCGUGAGGAGAUCGGCUCCCUUCCCCCGCUGCUGGGCCGGGCCUGUCGGUGCAGCACCCUCGGCAGCAAUAGAACUGGAGGAGAGGGAGGUUUUGCCCGCCUGAGGCGCGGUGUGAGGCCUGUGCUGGAGCCAGGGCGUGAUAGCGCGCCUCUGCCGUUGCUGAGGGAAGACGUGUACCCCCUAUGCCUUUGAGGGACACGAGUGGCCAUAAGGCCUUUGUGAAUGCAUGGAGCAAAUUUGCGAAGGGGGAGAAGGCAAGUUGUUAAACGUGUGAGAUUGGUGUCUGUCAAGAGGAUGUUGCGCUGGGAAAUGGGUCCAUGGAAUCAGUCCUGAGAGGACCUGUGAUACCAGAACUCCCCAAAGACACCUUGAAAGUCUGGAUACAGCUGUUUUGUUGAACUAUGGCCACAGCAUCAAGGAGGUUUAUUUUUAAGAGUGAAAUGGAAAGUUGGAAACACUGGGUCGAAACCUUUCCCAGGAGCAGUGGUCACUUCCUGAAGACAUGGGAGGAGAAAUCAAGUUAAGUACUUCUCUGUAAUUACUAAUCUUUCAAAGUUGCAUAGUCUUUUAAAUACUGCAUAGAAAAUGGGUAUACACAAAUCAGUGACUUAUGAGCAUGAAUCUCUGUCCACAGUUAUCAGAACCACCCAAACCACAGUAGAUAAAAAGCCUGAUCACUGCUGUGAGCAGAAGCCCACACGUUGACUUCUGUGGGGGAUAGGUAUGUACAUCAAAGAGCACGAUCAAACCCAAGAACUGAGAAAGACAAACAGCAAUUAAUGCUGCAUCUUUAUUACAGUGGACCCUGUAUGAUCUUGAUUUUACAUCUGAACUAGGCUUCUGCUGUACAUGCAUUACUCUUCUGGAAAAAGAAGUCAGCUCCUUCCUAUUUCUCGUCUUUCAAAUCCAGUGUUGCACAACCAAGCAUCCAGACAUUGUAAUUCACGCUGUAGAGCAUUCUACCCACUGAAAUGAAUGGGAACUCUAAUGAAACUAAGAUGUAAGGAUGGCAACAUCUACCUUAGAGUAAAAAUGGAAAUGCCAACUAUGCUAUUAAAAAAGGCCAUAAUAUACAUGAGAGAAGAACCAUGAGUCCUACCAUUAUGGUAUCUAUUAAUCUUAAACUUUACAGCAUUAAAAUAUGGGAAGUUUUUAUUUGUUUGAAACACAGACCGUCUUUUGAAAAAGAUAUGAGUAGAAAACAAACAGGUUGCAGUAUAUAUUCUCCUUUUCAUCUUUGUCCAGAACUCCCACUGUUUUCUGUGCAGGAAAAAACAAUACAAUAUGGUCCAAUGUCUGUAAAUGAUAAAGCAAAAAGCAUUCCAUUAAUUUAUUUCUGAUUUAGUCUGGGUUAUAUUGUUUUAUACAUGUUUGAGACUCUUCAAGUUGCUUGGUUUAUGCAUGCAGCGCAUAUAAAUAUUAACAUUUGGAUAUUAGAGUAUUGCUUGAGCCUAUUGAACCAUUUUUAAAAUAUAAUUUCUAUACUGAAAAAAAGCUUCUUACAAUUAACUAUGACAAGGUGUAGAAUAUAGUUCUUAUAGAAAUCUAGUUGUGUUGAUAAACAGAAAUUGCAUAAAUACUGAGACACUAAAGUUCAACAGCCAACUUUUUAGAUGAAGAAAUGCCCAGUUCCACUGGAGAACACAUCGGAAAGACUUUCAAAUAGGGAGCUGUACUCUGAUUCCUGCAGCCAUUGUCAGCUUUGUCAGCAUGAACAGAGUAAAUUUAACACCAGAAGAGCUAUGGUCAGUCCACCUUCAGCCUUGCCUACCUUCAGUGAAAAGGUGUGUACCUGAUGACUGCUACAUUUACUGAGGUGUAGUAGUUUAAAACAUUCCUCCUAAGCACACCAAAGUGCCAGCUUUCAAUUAUCAUGCAAGUUACCUUUGUGGAUAGUUUAUACUCUUUUUUUUUUUUUUCUGGGCAAGGAACCAGAACUACUAAAAUAUGGAUUUGUGGUUUCUGCCACCUUUGAUAUGGAGGCAGAAAUUCCUGGGAGAGUGUCAGUGUGGUUAGUUAGGACCUGUAACCUCUUCAACUGCUGGUACUUAGUAGAGGUGAUCUGCCUGACCAACUCCAAAAGCAAUAAUCCAUCAUUUGAACCACCUUGUCUCUCUCCUGCACGGAGUUACCUGUUCUGUGGGACACCGAUCAAAUCCAGGUGCUGCUUUCCCAUCAGCAACACAAGAGCUGUCAGCAUUGCCUGUCCAAACUCAGGUAUAGGCGUCUGGGCACACAUCAGGGUGGAGGUGGAAUUUUGUUAACAGAGAGAACUAAGAAUCCAGAGAAGACAGAGCACUUGGGAACUGAUGCCCUAUCUGGAAUAUUAAAAGACCUUCUACAUACCUCAGGGAUUAUAUCUAGAUGGAUGAGUGUGGAGAGUUGCUUGCCUGCUCUUAUACUUUCAGCUACCAGGCUGCAGGCCAGCUCUGAUAUGAAAACUGAAACCACAGCACUGUGACACUGUGCUUGUAUUUACCAUAACUGUUCUCUCUGCAGGACUUAUCAACACAGCUCUGAGCUUUUGGUAAGUGCAGUUACCUGAUACACAGACCAGUCUGGAUAACAUCCAUCUGGCUCAGACUGUAAGCAGCUGCAUGCACCACCCUGCACGGGCACUUUUCGUGAGUUGCAGUAGUAAGCUCCCACACAGCUACUACAGCAGUUGUACACAGAUACAGUGAGUUGCCAGUCACUGUGCAAUGGAAGCAAACUGUUCCUGUGACAACAACACUCUUAGCAUAUAAUUUCAUGUUUCAUAGUAUAUAAUCCCUUUGGAUUCUUCAAGUAAAAUGUAAAAAUGACAAUAUAUUGAGACCAAAUGAAGAAAAAAUUAAAACCAGAGCAGGUCUAAACUGACAUAUUUAAAAUUACUUUGAAAUGAAAUUAAGCUUUUCAAUGACAAAUGGGUUUCUUGUGGCUCCAAAACAAACAGUAAGGAAUGAAAUACAGACUUAUAUGUGCAUAAAUGAUUUAGGCGGUGAAUGGGGAGGAGAUGGUCAUAGAGGGCUGAGCUGAAGAAAGUACAUUUGCAAGUUCCUGAAAAACCCAUGUAGGAGAGAGUUCCACAGAAAAACUGAAUACUAUGACUCAGCUUGAUCCAGAUAAGGUUUUCAUAGGGGAAUAAAAGGCAAAAACCUUUGAUCUUGGUUGCUGUGAUAGAAAAUUGAGUAAUAAAUAAUGGUUCUGUUAAUGUCUUAAUCAUAGCUUAUACAUAAUUUUCUCUUGCCAACAUUCCUUUGCUUGUCAUUGUACUUUGACACAGCAUGAUUGCAUGAGUGUCUCAAGUAAACUCAAUAGCUCUUCCAGGAGGAGGCCUGACUCCUUGUAGCCCACCAAAGCUGGAUGUGUCAGAAGAAAGGGACUGGAUGAAAAGCAGCCAAGGGGACUUCCUGGCUGGGGAUUUUGUAGCUAGCCAUCAGCCUGUUUUCGUGGAAACAGUAGUAAGAGAAACAUCCCAGGGAACCAUGUGGGCAAAUGACACCAGAUGGAUCUAGGGAGUUCAGCUUCUUCCUUAAGCAACAUCUGCUGAUAUUGGAAGUAUCCAGAAAGCCACACCACACUUUAAAUUAAACAAAACAAAAAACGAUCUGCAACAGGAAGAAGAACAACCCAAGAUAAAUUAUCUGCAAAAACCUGCAUUUUAACAUAAAAGCUUCAUGAAAAUGUUGCAUAGCAGCAGUCAUGCCAGAUAGAGGUGAUUCAGUAUCAUAAUUGAGUCUGAGCCAAACGAGAUCUAGUCAUGUCCAGAACUUUCAAGUAUUAAACUCUUGAUCCUGCUCAAAACAUGGUUAUUUGCUUUGCCUUCUGGUUUACCUGCACAUCACUCCUAAAGUAUGGGGAAAUGAAAUCACUUAAAAAUUUUGGUAAGUGAGGCUUUCUUAGAUUCUUGCGUUUUAGAGUCUUGUGAACUGGUUAAAGGCAGAAAACAGAUACAAGAUUGGUACAUUGAACGGCAGGAAGAGGGAAUACCAAGGCUUUGAAUAGAAAACCUAUAAAUUUAUAAGAAAAUAUAUGAGAAAGUAUAUUUUUGAAACUAUUAUCCCUAAUAAACAAACAAACAAAAAAAUGUAGUGCUACAGUGACAUUCUGUGAAAUUCUCAAUUUUGUGAUUGAAUUACUACAUUUUGUGAUUGAUAAAUAAGUUGGUGCCAUAGUGACUACCUGUAUAGAAAGUUUCUGGAGCCCAAGUGAAAACUGAGUUAUUUAUAGUUUAACAUUUAAUUUCUUUUUAUGCUCCAUAUCUUUGAAACCAGUGUCAUUUUUAGCUCGUCAAAGUACAGAGGCACCAGUUUUGUUUUUCCAAACCUAUGUAUUUAAGGAAGGGUGUUUAAACAGUGCUGGCAACCUUGUAUUUCUAAAUGUUAGUGUUCUGGUUUUCAUCUAAAUAAAGAAAGCAGGAUUUGCAGUUGAAAAAUAAGUUUGUAGGCUCAAAAAGUACAAUCGGAAAAAAUAUGUGGAGAAACAAAAAUGCCAAUCAAAAAUAUCUGUAUUAAAAUUGGACCAUAACACCUGCUGCAAUGUUACUGUUACCAGUGCAGUUGCUGUAGAAAGCAGAGUACCAGGGCCAAGUACAGAAGCAAGAGGAAUUAACUUUUAGCUACUCCAGCAAGGCAGAGCCCUGUGAAUCACACUAGGAAGCAUAGAUCAAAUCCUCUUAUGUAAACAUCAUACGAGGCUGGCACUAAUCCUCCGCACACCCGAGGAGGACUGCUGAUGUGGCAUUCUCCAAAUGCACAUUUGCUUUGCGUAAUUGUGGGCAGUCGUUCUUGGGCACAGGAGGCCUAAGUGUGAGCCUUCAUAUUGUCUUCUCAGGGUGAGCAAAACUAGAUGGGGAAAAGCAAACCCUGGACAUGGCCAUGGUCUGCUAGGGCCACCUCAGACACCUCUUGUCAUCGCUGCCUUGCCCAGAGACAGGACAUCCUCCCCCCAGCACACCAAUCUCUCAUGCCUGGGUCCAAGCCCAUGAAGAGCUGGGUGGCCCAUCUCAGUCCCAGGUCCUGCUGCAUCUCUGGAGUCAUGUCAUUGGUCUCCUCCUGGGUUUCCCAUCAGUUGUCUGCUUCAGUGCAGAAUGCUGAGGACUCAUCUCCUGUUUCUCACCCAUGUUUAACUUGCUGAAUCAGAACUCCAUGAAAUGAUUCAGACCUGGUUUCUGGUGACUAAUACUGGGCACUCCCUUCCUCUUAGGCAGUGGCAGCUCCUUAGUGCUCCCAAGCCCUGUUCAGCCAGGCAGCUACAGGAUUGGAGACCAGAUGUGUUUCUGUCCCACUGAACAAGUGGUGGCUGGUUUUUGUUUAUACAGCAAUGUGAAUUUUUAGUCUGAACUUAUUUUUUUUCUUUUCAGUCUAUGCAGUUAUGUGAUCAAAAAGUAUAAUCCCUGCACACACAGAUCCUAUAGUUUAUAGAACUGGUCUUGAAGAAAGUCUGGGUGGGUACUGUGAAAUUCCUGUUGUUGCUUUUUUCAUUCAUCUGGGAUCAGAUGUGGAAUAAAGUAAAUAUCUUAGGAUGAAGACUUUAUUACAGGCAUAGUUUUAUCUAUGUAAAGCUUUCUUCUACCACAUUAUUUUUUCAUUCACACAAAGAAGUCUAAAACUUAGAGGAGCACUUUGAGUAAGAGCUCUGGCCCAACUUCAUUUUGCCUCUCCUCACCCAUCAAACACAAAAAAGUGCAAUAUAAUACAAACACAGCAAUUUUCCACACAGAGAACCAUACAGCAUCACUGCCAGGUGCUCUCUGCAACUUUUCCCUAUUUUGUUCAGCAAGAAUUUGAAAGCAUUAGCAGUUUGAUCACAGUUGUAAUUUUCAUGGUUGCAGGAAGCCCAGCAGUCCUUGCAGGCUCCAGCAUGAGACUGCCUGCUCAAGUCUGGGAGAUACCCCACAUUCUUCAUUCUAAAUUAUCAGUGAGAUAGAAAUGUUUGUUCUGCUGUCCAGGUCUAUCUAUUGUGUGCAAUUUGUCUCUUUAAAGUUUCCAUGCAGAAGCCACUGACAUCCCCAGAGAGUUAAACCUUCUUAGCUAAUCUUCUAAAAAAGCUUCAGAGACCUUUUGGCCUAGGCUGGAUCUUCCUCCUAUGGGUUUUCUUGGGUAUCUUCAGGUUUUGUCUCUUAAAUUAGGUAAUUUCUCAUCCUCUGAAAUAUCUCUGGUGUAUGCAUGAAUAUGAAAAGUACUCUGCAGACCUUGCCGUGGUUUGUGCUCUGUCUUAAUCUGUCAGUGUCAGUGUAACUGGAUGAUGCAGACUCCCGGUCAAAACCAAUAACACAUUCAGCUCUUGACUGCAGAAAAGUUUGCUGCUAUUUGGAAUUACAUUUCUUACAAUUAUUGCAAAGCUUUGGCUCAGUUGUUCAGGAAGCCGCUGAGUAAGAUUUUUUUAAUAGUUCCAGUAUGGGAAGUUAAAGAUGAUGGAGCUGUGGUCAGGCCAUUUUCCACCACCCAAUGUAAUACCUCAGUUAUCCACUGUGACACAAAAGGGCACAUUGUGGUAUGUCACCUGAUAGUACACGCAGCUGCAUUGCUCAAAUCCUUGCAAAUUUAAGGUAAAUGGGUUGUAUUAGAGCAAUAGCUUCCAUUCUUUGUCUUCUGUGAAUAUUUCCCUAAUACCUGGGCAAAGCGGGAUAUUUCACACUUCUUUGCCAUGACAUGCUGUGAAAUGUUUGGCUGUUGUCCUUAGAGUCUGGUAAUGUCAAUCUCUUCUUUUGUUCUUACUUAGAGCUCAACUUUUGAUGCCACAUGAGGCAGCAUCCUGACAAAGAGGAAACCCGAUGGCACAGCUGUAGUUUCAAAUACUCCAACAGGUUUACGAAGGCAAACUAUUGCACAGUGACCUAGUUUAGAACUGUCACAGGGAGCAAUUAAUCUUUGUCACUCCAUACUCAUUCUAGAAGCACUUGAAGCCCAAAGAACUCCCUGGAGCCACAUUUCUUCCUGCCAGCUCUCUGUAGAGGGGCUCAGUUCUGCUCCAGAGCACAUUUACUCACUUAAAUAGCCCAGAACCCCUCCAGGGUCCCUACAUGAAGGCAAUUCCCAGUACAAUAGCAAUAGAAAUACCGAUCAUACAACAUAAUCCACUGAGUUUUCACACACCCCGAAGCUGAUGGGUGAUGAAUUUCUUUUGGCCUUUGCAUUAGCCCAUCCUUAGUAGCUCCUGGUGUUAUUCAUGCAGUACAUUUCCUUCCCCUUCAGCCUCCUAAGUAUUUUCCAUGGAUCAUAUUUUCACCAAAUCACAACUCUUCAGCUGUUAAGUUCUGCAGAGAGCUCUUCACACGUGUCGCUCCAGUUGUUGGGUGCUGUUGAGCUCUGUAGCUCCUGCUUUCCUGGAUGAGGCUUCCCUCUAUUUGGGCAACUCCAUCUCUACAUCAUCUGUGAAUACCACCUGGCUCAGGUGUCCCUAAGAAACAGAUUCUUUCACCUGACCCAUGGGAUGCCUAUGAAUGCAUUGCAGUUGGGCCUUUUCCAACUAUUUAGUCACUUCACUAGAAAUGUUUCCUUGAAAUGCUGCAUCUGGUCUAAAUGACUCACCCUGAGGCUGGGAAUUCACAGCUGAUACCUUUAAAAAAAUCCUAAAUUUCUGUCUCAGUGUUUAUAGCUCUGUCAGAAGCCUGUUCAUGGCAUUAUCAGUGAUGUUAUUUUCCACAGCUGACAAAGCAUGAGUUACCUUUCUGCAAAUUCUUUUCAAAGUAAAUGUUAAUACAAAAGUUUCUAAUCUCCCACUGGGCACACAAUCUGCCUGUAUUACUCAUUCCAAAUUCAAUACGCAAAGUUCAGCCGCAUUAAAACUGUCUUCUGACCAGAAGCAAAGGGAAACCCCCAGAAAAAGCUUCCUCAAUGCAAAUAACCACUCCUGUGGAGGUUGCCCUUUUGCUGCUUUUUUGUUUGCUGUUUAGUCGGCAUUUCCAAGGAGCCAAAUUUCUGCUUUUUUCCUUCCUGCAAGAAACAGAAAAGAUUUAUAAGGCUCUGCUUUGCAAGAUGUAUGGCCUACAUAUUAAAUAUUGUGACAAAAGAUUUUGGCCUUGACAUCCAGAAGCACUGUUAAGAUGCUGUCCUGCUUUACCUUUCCCUUCAGAGAGUAUUAGCUUAGUGACUGGAAAGCCCUCCUACUCAAGGCCAACGAACUUCUUUUUAGAAGUGCUUUUUCUGUUUUGUGCCCACUGCCUUAAGUGCAAAGUACACAAUGGCUACCAGGGAAAGGCCCAGCAUGGAGAGCAGCAUUGCCCUCCUUUACUGCUUCUGGCUCAGAGGCAGCAAUUAGGGUAUAAAGCUGGAUAAUGUGUUAUUAAUAAGAUACAGCACCAUCACUUGGAGGAAGUGCCGUCUGCCCUAAUAAAUUCAAACUACUUAUUCCCUCAGCUGCCUAGGCACUGGGUGUUGCAACUUAGAGGCAACUGAGUUGCUAGGAAGUUAAUGGUUGAGUUAAAGACCUGCUCAGGUUUUUGCAGAGGAAGGCCUCUGCAAAAGUCAAGUCAAGGCAAUGAUGGGACACUCAGAAGACUCUUCUGAACCUGAAUCUGGCCCUUGAACUGGGAGCUAUCCCUGCAGAGUCCUACUUUUAGGUGACCAGACUUGCUGCUAAUAUACUUUUCUUGGUAAAUGAACGGCAACCAAGGCAAUUUGCCAAACUGUCUUGUCCUCUUGCUUGGAGUGAAAGAAUCACUCAUACCUCUGCCAGUUUGUUUACUGUGUGGUCAAAGAUUUUUAGCAUGAUCGAAGGCACUGAUCCAGCUACUAGACACUUCCGCAAAUACUAUAAAAAACCAAUAAGCAGCUAAAUGCUGUAUGAUGCUGAAGAAUUGAUAUAUGCCUGUUUCAGUUCUGCAACGUGUUCCAUUCCUAUGAAUCCAGGCAUGAAGAGCAAAACCACCUGUAUUUUAAAAAUGCUAAAAGAAAUACAGCUAUUGGAAGUGGAACAAAGGAUGCCAGCUACAACAGGAAAUCGACUUUUCUGGGUGUUCACAAAGUUGUGCUUUCUGCUCAUCUUACUUUGUUGAUUUUCUGUAUCUCCAUGGUCCCACCACUUUUUGUGCUUGACUGCCGAACAGCUUUUGGUCAUGGGCUUCUUUUGACUAAAUAGACAGUUUUCAUGCUGCCCGAAUUCUUUAAUUGGAAAAGACUCAAGACAAAUAUGAGAGGCCACCAGAUUCCUUCCUGUCAUCUUGACAUGGGAAGCUCAAGAGAAGGACACUGAAAAAGCAUAAUUUCCUCAGAUUUUUGGACUGUUGAGAAGCCCAGCUCUUGGAAGUCCUGGAAAAACCUUCACAUGACCAUCUAUUUUGGAACCUGGAGCUGGGUUACUGUGGGAUAAUUCAUACAACCACACAGACUAAUCACAAGGGCCUUGUUAUUUAAAUGCACCGAUUACUUUUUUUCUGCAAUAGCUCCUGCUCUUCUCCACAUCCCACAAUGCAUUCCAGAGCUACUAUGUUAAUUGGAAGUAUAUUCCUGUAUGUGAAGUGGACUUUAAUUAGCACCUAAGGGGUACAUUCUGGUAUCCUGACUCAUGUGGCAUGCGGGUGUACCUCUGUUGCUCCAUCACAGCCUGUGGGACUUGUCAUGAAGAAAGGUACUUCCUGGCCCAGAUGAAGGCUGGCUUGGAAGCCCUGAGCCACCCAGAUGGGAUAAGAGACUCCACUGAAUCUCCAGCAUGCAACGCCAUGGCCCGGGGCCCUAAAUAACAAUAGUUACACUAACACUUCUAAUUAUUUUGCUCAACUAAUAAGCAACAUGAGCGGCUCCAGAUUUUAAGUCUGUGAACAAAGUAGGAACACUGUAAAAUCUUGGAUUGCAGGCAGUCUUGUAACAAAUUAAUAACUUCGACUACUACAUGAGUCAUCUGUAAAAUGGGCCCUGAGUUACGAAGACACACACCAACUGUGGGGGGUGUCACAGAAAAUUAAAAUUAAUGUGACAUAUUACUGUUUCAAUUACAAUAAAAGUACUGCAUCUGGAAGUGCUGAGAAAAGUGGGAGGGGCAAAAGUCCACUGAUUAGCAUAAUUACAUC